rnacentral:rRNA from 1 species
CAGUGAUCACUUUAACGGCCGCGGUACCCUGACCGUGCAAAGGUAGCAUAAUCAUUUGCCUUUUAAUUGGAGGCUAGUAUGAAUGGUCCGACGAGAGUAAAACUGUCUCAUAUAUAUUUAACAGAAACUAACUUAAAGGUGCAAAGGCCUUUAUCCUUUAAAAAGACGAGAAGACCCUGUUGAGCUUUAAUCUUAAAAAGCAUUUUUCUUAUAUUUAUAAAUUUAUUUUGCUAGCUAAAGAUUUUGAUUGGGGCGAUUAAGGAACAACCAUUAGCUUCCUGACUAUAGGUUAAAUCGAUCCAGUAAUACUGAUCAGCAAAAUGAGUUACCACAGGGAUAACAGCAUAAUUCUUCUUGAGAGUCCAUAUCGAAAGAAGAGAUUGUGACCUCGAUGUUGGACUAGGGUAACUAGAAGGUGCAGCCGCUUUCUUGUUUGGUCUGUUCGACCAAUAAUUCCCU